CCAGUCGGCCGGACGGCCGCGGCGCGCAAGCGCCGAGGAAAGUCCGGGCUCCACGGAACAACGAUGCCGGAUAACGUCCGGCGGGGGCGACCCCAGGGAUAGCGCCACAGAGAUCGAACCGCCGCGCCAGGGGCCCCUGGGCUCCGUUCCGCGCGGUAAGGGUGAAAAGGUGCGGUAAGAGCGCACCGCGGACCCGGCAACGGGGACGGCAUGGCAAGCCCCAUCGGGAGCAAGACCGAAUAGGGAUGACGCGCCGCCCGCAAGGGCGGCAGGCCCGUUUCCGGCCCAGUCAUCCGGGUUGGUUGCUUGAGGCGGCUGGCGACAGCCGUCCCAGAGGAAUGGCCGUCACGCCGGGGGCGACCCCGGCCAUCCAGAACCCGGCUUACAGGCCGACUGGCAAC
rnacentral:RNase_P_RNA from 1 species